ACGAACGCUGGCGGCGUGCUUAACACAUGCAAGUCGAACGGAAAGGCCCUGCUUGCAGGGUACUCGAGUGGCGAACGGGUGAGUAACACGUGGGUGAUUUGCCCUGCACUUCGGGAUAAGCCUGGGAAACUGGGUCUAAUACCGGAUAGGAGCCAUUUUUAGUGUGAUGGUUGGAAAGUUUUUUCGGUGUAGGAUGAGCUCGCGGCCUAUCAGCUUGUUGGUGGGGUAAUGGCCUACCAAGGCGGCGACGGGUAGCCGGCCUGAGAGGGUGGACGGCCACAUUGGGACUGAGAUACGGCCCAGACUCCUACGGGAGGCAGCAGUGGGGAAUAUUGCACAAUGGGCGCAAGCCUGAUGCAGCGACGCCGCGUGGGGGAUGACGGCCUUCGGGUUGUAAACUCCUUUCGCUAGGGACGAAGCUUUUUGUGACGGUACCUAGAUAAGAAGCACCGGCUAACUACGUG
rnacentral:rRNA from 1 species